rnacentral:rRNA from 1 species
UACGGAGGGUGCGAGCGUUGUCCGGAAUCAUUGGGCGUAAAGGGCGCGUAGGUGGCGGGACAAGCGUGCGGUGAAAGCUCGGGGCUCAACCCCGAGUCGGCCGUGCGAACUGUUUUGCUGGAGCACUGUAGAGGCAGGCGGAAUUCCGGGUGUAGCGGUGGAAUGCGUAGAGAUCCGGAAGAACACCGGUGGCGAAGGCGGUCUGCUGGGCAGUUGCUGUCACUGAUGCGCGACAGCGUGGGGAGCAAACAGG